rnacentral:rRNA from 1 species
GACGAACGCUGGCGGCGUGCUUAACACAUGCAAGUCGAACGAAGAGCGAUGGAAGCUUGCUUCUCUCCAUCUUAGUGGCGAACGGGUGAGUAACGCGUAAUCAACCUGCCCUUCAGAGGGGGACCACAGUUGGAAACGACUGCUAAUACCGCAUACGAUCUAACCUCGGCAUCGAGGAUAGAUGAAAGGUGGCCUCUACAUGUAAGCUAUCACUGAAGGAGGGGAUUGCGUCUGAUUAGCUAGUUGGAGGGGUAACGGCCCACCAAGGCGAUGAUCAGUAGACGGUCUGAGAGGAUGAACGGCCACAUUGAGACUGAGACACGGCCCAGACGCCUACGGGAGGCAGCAGUGGGGAAUCUUCCGCAAUGGACGAAAGUCUGACGGAGCAACGCCGCGUGAGUGAUGACGGCCUUCGGGUUGUAAAGCUCUGUUAAUCGGGACGAAAGGCCUUCUUGCGAAUAGUGAGAAGGAUUGACGGUACCGGAAUAGAAAGCCACGGCUAACUACGUG